rnacentral:rRNA from 1 species
CCCUUAGAUGUUCUGGGCCGCACGCGCGCUACACUGAUGCAUUCAACGAGUCUAAAACCUGCUCUGAUAGGGGUGGGUAAUCUUUUGAAUGUGCAUCGUGAUUGGGAUAGAUGAUUGCAAUUUUUCAUCUUCAACGAGAAAUGCCUAGUAAACGCAAGUCAUCAGCUUGCAUUGAUUACGUCCCUGCCCUUUGUACACACCGCCCGUCGCUCCUACCGAUUGAAUGAUCCGAUGAAUAUCAUGGAUUGAGGAUGCAAGCAGGUUCGCCUGUCUUCAUCUUCGAGAAGUGAAGUAAAUCUUAUCAUUUAGAGGAAGGAGAAGUCGUAACA